rnacentral:lncRNA from 1 species
CAAUUGCUGCCCUAAUAUGUUAGGGGCUUGUACAUGCUGCCGUAGAAGACUUUUGGGGCAUUAUAUAUGCUGUCGUGGACUUGUCGGAGUGCUAGGUCGAUCACUUUCACUACCGUUUAUGACAAUUCGUGAGACUUGGUUUAGUUGAGAUACAAAGUGGCUUUUUGAACUUCCGUUUGGAAUCUUGUUGAGCAUUACCUU